AUAAAACCAGUCAGCAGCGAACACAAGUACCCCCGGAGCACAACGACUUUUCCAGAUGGAGCUUCAAUGUUUUACUGAAUGACGGUGUUAAACAAAUUUUAAUUUUCAAUGUAGCCUCAGGGGCUAUUCCAUAUUUUGAUCCACCAUCUAUUUCUGGGAUGGUCCGUACGGUUUUGCCGUUCCAAAAAUUUCCCAGUUAUUCGACCAUACAUAUGGGGUGUUCUUAAGCCGCACGUUUCAACCCUGAGCACAUCCCGGGGGAGCGGAGGGAUUUUUUGACAGAUGUGAAGUUUCGAUUCACACUGGCACCAGCCACCGUCCCUCAAAAACAGCUGAUGCCAAUAACAAAUUCAUAAUAUUUUCGCGGAAUAUGUAUUUUUUGUCUCAAAAUGGAGACUUAGCAAAUAGACUUAGCACCAAAAUAUAUUCUUGCACCAACUAAUAAUGUUGCUGCAAAUUAAUAAUGAUGAUGACUAUAACUUUGACGAGGUUGACAUGCUUGGCUAGGUAUCUGCCCUAAAAAAAACAAAAGCCAGGAAAGUUAAUCACUCAGAAUUGUAACCACCCUAAAAGGGUUCUAUACAAUCCGUCCCCCGACUUAUAAUGAGCGUAUCGCACCACACCCCGCAACCAACGCCCCCUCUCCGCACGCAGGCGCCGAUCAACACGCGCCAACUCCAUAACGCUCACCAAAGACAUCAGGUCACGGAGACUUCCCCCACUCCAGGCCAAACCAUCGCCAAGUGCGGUCUUCCGGGUUCAUCAACUGCGGAAAGAUGACACCGCGAAAGUCUGCGACGGUCACCAAGAACGGCGAAGUGCACCCCGACGCGGAAGUGCACUUUCAAACCCGCGGACCCAGCAAUACGGGCCCAUAAAAAGACGACGACGAGCACCAAGAAGCAGCUUACGCAGAAACCCGGCUCAGAGUACAGACGUUGUACCAAAAGCUUGCACAGAAACUUGGUUCGGAGUACAGACAAGAACAGGAACCUACAAGAAACACCGGCGACCAAUUAAACUAAGUUCAUUUAAAGUGCUAAGAAUUAUAGUAAAGUGUCAAAUUAUCAAAGUAA